rnacentral:lncRNA from 1 species
UUGGUAGACGGGCUAGUUGUUCUAUCAAGAAAUCCAACAAUAAUUAACCCUGGAUUUUAUCAUGAUAUCAAUGCUAUUUAGUUGCAAAUUUCUUCAACCUUAUCCGCUUCGAACCAGUCACACAACUCACAAGCUUCUGUCCUCAGUUAUCAACGAUUGUGAAGAUGAAUACUAAAUGGAUUAAUUCUAAAUGAGUAUGCAUCGUUACAUUAAUUUACACACAUAAUGUCCUUAACCGUUGCAACAACCAACAACAACAACCUCAAACAUAUUAAUCAUUUGUUAAACCAAUCCAAUACUAUCUCUCACUCUCACCUCAAACAAAUUCAUGCUCAAAUACUUCGCACCAUUCACACCAAUCAUCCACAAUCCCUUUUUCUCCACACCAAACUUCUUCACCAUUACUCCUUCACAAAUCUCAACUACACUACACAUCUUUUUCAUCAC